rnacentral:sRNA from 1 species
CCCUAGCCCCGAUUGAAGCUUUGUUUGAGCUCUUUUUUGUUUUUUUCAAACAAAAAAAGCGAGUGCGGAAAGCGGGAAAUUGC